GUGUUGGUCGUAAGAUGGAGGAACUGAUCGCGGAGUUCAACCCGUCUAAGAUCACCACCCACUCUGCCCUGCUAGACCUGGACAAACUACCUGAGUUUAACAGGAUCCACCUGCAGCAGCGUAUCGAUGACGCGGUGCAACGCGAUUGGCUGGUGAGGGAUCUGCAGGGGCGGAUCCAGGAAGUGUACGGAACACAAGUCCAGGAUCAGGAUGUUCUGCAACCAGAUUACAUCACACGGGUUCUACACCUGCGCAAGGGUCAUAUCUCCUCUGUGUCUGACCUGGUGUCCUCAGAGUAUUCCUACCUUUGGGUUCAACCUUCUCCUCUGUCUAAUUCUCUCUCUCUUCUCUCUCUGUCUCUCUCUCAGGGUCAUAUCUCAUCUGUGUCUGACCUGGUGUCCUCAGAGUAUUCCUACCUUUGGGUUCAACCUUCUCCUCUGUCUAAUUCUCUCUCUCUUCUCUCUCUGUCUCUCUCUCAGGGUCAUAUCUCCUCUGUGUCUGACCUGGUGUCCUCAGAGUAUUCCUACCUUUGGGUUCAACCUUCUCCUCUGUCUAAUUCUCUCUCUCUGUCUCUCUCUCAGGGUCAUAUCUCAUCUGUGUCUGACCUGGUGUCCUCAGAGUAUUCCUACCUAGUGUAGUGUUAGCUAGCUACAUAGUUGUCUUUGCUGUCUUCGUAUCCAAGAUAAUUGUGUAGUUUAGAGUGUGUAGGUUUAGAGUGAUUAUCUUAAUUUACCGAGGUUAGCUAGCCAGCUAUUUGUCGUCCUUAACGUAGGAGACACUGCUAGCUAGCCAACAGCUAGCCAACGUCUACCGAACAGUACUUCCGCACUCAACAACCCGGUCGCAUUUCGCUUCGCUCCACAGGUAGUAUCACAUUUUUCAUUUCAUUUCAUUACAGUACAACGGCUUGAUUUGUUUGAUCGUAGCUAGCUACAUAGCUAGCUACAUAGCCGUCUUUGUAUCAAAGAUAAUUGUGUAGUCUAGAGCGAUUUCCUAGGUUAGCUAGCCAGCUAUUGUCGUUCUUUUAACGCAACGUAACGUAAUCAUCACUGCUAGCUAGCCAGCUAGCCCCGAAUAGCAGCACAGUAGAAACUAUUACACUCAACGGAACGACUUGAUUAGUGUAGUGUCAACAACGCAGCCACUGCCAGCUAGCCUACAUAGUCAACAACGCAGCCUCUGCCAGCUAGCCUACUUCAGCAGUACUGUAUCAUUUUAAUCAUUUUAGUCAAUAAGAUUCUUGCUACGUAAGCUUAACUUUCUGAACACUCGAGACGUGUAGUCCACUUGUCAUUCCAAUCUCCUUUGCAUUAGCGUAGCCUCUUGUGUAGCCUGUCAACUAUGUGUCUGUCUAUCCCUGUUCUCUCCUCUCUGCACAGACCAUACAAACGCUCCACACCGCGUGGCCGCGGCCACCCUAAUCUGGUGGUCCCAGUGCGCACGACCCACGUGGAGUUCCAGGUCUCCGGUAGCCUCUGGAACUGCCGAUCUGCGGCCAACAAGGCAGAGUUCAUCUCAG